rnacentral:lncRNA from 1 species
GUUGACAUGAAUAUAUACGUUUUUUAGUUCACUGUUAAUUAAAAUUUUCAGAUUUAUAUCACACUCUAAAUUUUAGAUUCUAUCUAAACCUAUCCUAACUAAACUUAAUCAUGAUCAGUAACCAUCCGCUCAAAACUGACUAUGCCCACUUCUAUUUCUUCUACUGAUAUUCUAAGUAUAUCAAAAAUUCAAGGAUUCUGACACUUAUGGCUACUCACUGUGAUUUCAUUCCUCCAUCGCUCGAACAAUACUUCUCAAAUCACACACAACAAUCCCCCAGUUCCCUUCUUCCUCUUUUCUCUCCCUUCACUUCCCGGCCGGCGGCACUCUUACCGGUGAAAAUGGACGUUCGCCGGAGAUGUGAUUAUAUGAGUUGCUCGAUUGGAAAAUCAUAAUACAGUACAAGAGAAUUCCUUUUGAUAAAAAAGGCUAAUGGUCUAAUUUUAUUCCUUCUCCAUGUCAUUGGCCUUUUUCAUUAGGCUUGAUUAUUGGUUUGAAUAACAUACAGAAGUGUCUAUUAUUAGACUUACUGGUAGUUCUACUUAUGCCGUGAAAUUUAGUUUUCAAAGAGUGAUGACUUUACUGUGAAUAACUGCACGCAGGUAAUCGUUAUGAAAAUGAAAUUGAGUUUACAUUUUGUUUCAUAUGUGUUAGAUUCACUUUGUAAAGUUCCAGUCCAUAAGGAGAAGCUAAUAAUGAGUAGAAGAGGUUUUUUUUUCCUUGAGUUCAGUAUAGAUUGUGUUCUUAACUUGUGGCCUUGGAUAUGGGAUUAUUUAUGAUUUUUGCCAAAGCUUUUUUACCUGUUUAGUGUCAUUGAAAUUUAGAAAAUUUACUUAUCACAAAGUCAGUUGAACACUAAGUUUUAUCAACCGAAUCUAACUUGGGUGAUAUCUCAGCUCUUGAAUAUAAUUUUAUCAACCGAAUCUAACUUGGGUGAUAUCUCAGCUCUUGAAGUAUAAAAAAGAAGAAAUUCAAAUCUUGUAGUUCUUCUUUUGAAACAAAUUAUAUUUUUAUAAUGGUAUUCUUAGAAAUAUUAUAUAACUGAUAAGCUAACUAUAAAGAUAUUCUUUUAAUAACAGAUUUGUUGACUUGGAGCAAUAUGCUAAAGCAAGGAGAUGUGGUAGUAUUUUCAAAAUAAUUGAGUCCAAAUAUCAAUAUGCAUGUAAGCAUUCUAGAAACUAAGGACAAAUGGCUCUUCUAAGCCAAGUGACUAUGAAUACCCACCAUGUGGCACUUUGCAUGAAAAUAUGUAGCCAAAUGGCCAAGCUAUAAACAAAUAGCAAUCCUCCUUCAUGCAAUCAAACAAAUGACAAUCGAAGAAGCUUUCAUUAGGCCUAUAAAUAGCCAUGAUUAGGCCAUUAUUAUUCAAUCAUCAAAUACUAAAAAAGCUAAUCAUUAGCAAAGAAGAAAUUCUUCUUUCUUC